rnacentral:lncRNA from 1 species
UUGCAGAGCACCAUCUAACCACUGCUUGACACCUACCAUGACAGGAGCUACUGAGUAGGGAAUAGGGAAGGAAGAUACGCUGCUGACAUGCAAUAGCAGACCCAACAGCCGGGCCCCAGGAAGUGCCCCAGGAAGGUGCCAUAUUGGGCAGGAAAGAAGAGAUCCAAAGGAAAAUAUGGAUUUGGUCACCUGCAUCUGAAUAAUAUCACUCUGGAAUGACAAGACAACUGAAAGUACCUU